rnacentral:rRNA from 1 species
CAGCAAUGUGUGGAGCUGACCGGUACUAAUAGGCCGAGGGCUUGACCA